AAAUGUAAAAGGGAGAGUAAGUGAAACUCAAUAAAAGAAAUAACGGUUCACCCAGGGCGAAGCUCGGCCAUUGCACUCCGGCUGUGUUGACCCCUGCGAAUUCCUCAAAUGUGGGAAUCUCGACUGCAUAAUUUCUGCUAGUGGGGGACUGCGUUCGCGCUCUCCCCUG